UACGUAGGGGGCAAGCGUUAUCCGGAUUUACUGGGUGUAAAGGGAGCGUAGACGGCGUAUCAAGUCUGAUGUGAAAGGCUGGGGCUUAACCCCGGGACUGCAUUGGAAACUGGUAUGCUCGAGUGCCGGAGGGGUAAGCGGAAUUCCUGGUGUAGCGGUGAAAUGCGUAGAUAUCAGGAGGAACACCGGUGGCGAAGGCGGCUUACUGGACGUGCACUGACGUUAAGGCUCGAAAGCGUGGGGAG
rnacentral:rRNA from 1 species